UACGUAGGGGGCGAGCGUUAUCCGGAAUUAUUGGGCGUAAAGAGUGCGUAGGUGGUUCUUUAAGCGUGAGGUGAAAGGCAAUAGCUCAACUAUUGUAAGCCUUGCGAACUGGGGGACUUGAGUGCAGGAGAGGAAAGCGGAAUUCCUAGUGUAGCGGUGAAAUGCGUAGAUAUUAGGAGGAACACCAGUGGCGAAGGCGGCUUUCUGGACUGUAACUGACACUGAGGCACGAAAGCGUGGGGAGCAAACAGG
rnacentral:rRNA from 1 species